rnacentral:rRNA from 1 species
GAUGAACGCUGGCGGCGUGCCUAAUACAUGCAAGUCGAGCGAACAGACGAGGAGCUUGCUCCUCUGACGUUAGCGGCGGACGGGUGAGUAACACGUGGAUAACCUACCUAUAAGACUGGGAUAACUUCGGGAAACCGGAGCUAAUACCGGAUAAUAUAUUGAACCGCAUGGUUCAAUAGUGAAAGACGGUUUUGCUGUCACUUAUAGAUGGAUCCGCGCCGCAUUAGCUAGUUGGUAAGGUAACGGCUUACCAAGGCAACGAUGCGUAGCCGACCUGAGAGGGUGAACGGCCACACUGGAACUGAGACACGGUCCAGACUCCUACGGGAGGCAGCAGUAGGGAAUCUUCCGCAAUGGGCGAAAGCUUGACGGAGCAACGCCGCGUGAGUGAUGAAGGUCUUCGGAUCGUAAAACUCUGUUAUUAGGGAAGAACAAAUGUGUAAGUAACUAUGCACGUCUUGACGGUAUCUAAUCAGAAAGCCACGGCUAACUACGUG